UUUCCCCUAUAGUUUAUAAUUUUAAUUUUUAUUCAGUUAUGCUUUAAUAUGUAAGAAUCGAAAUUUCAUAAAAUAAGACAAUGAAGGAAGUUUAUAAUUUUUUUUUCUUUUGUCACAAAACUGGAGUUUAUAAUUUCUUAAUUGCAAAGAGUGUUAGCAAUCUGUAAAUAUGCUCCUACCUACACAUUGUUCUUACCAUAGACAAACUAUAAUGGAUUUUGUGUUUUCCUUUUAUAGGUUCGGAUAAGUCUCUCCAACCUAACGUGAACUUUGUUCUGUAUAUCCCUUCUAGACACCAGUCACUACUCAGGAUAUCAGAUAUGAGGAGUGUUUCUAACUUUGAAAGUAAAAUGACAGCUCUAGAAAGCAAUGUGAAAGAGCUCAAAGAUCAACAAUCUAAUCUACGAACAACAACUGAAAAUUUCUCAGGAGAAUUAGAUGUUGUAAAUGUUACAGUUCAAGAAUUGUCUAAUUCUUCUGAAUCAACUUCAAAUUCAUCUGUAGAUACAUCAAGGUAAGAUGCUAAAGUCCAGACUGCUGUUCAACAAGGGGACAGGAUGUUGUCUUUAUGAUGGAGAAUAGUAUUGUGUGAUUCAUCAUAACUUUGGUAAGAAUUAUAUUCUACUGCUUCAGUAAAUUUCCUGGUCGUUCAAAUACAACAAAAGCACCUAAAGUCGGAAAGGGAUUUGCUCACUUUUUCGGGCAAAGUGGGAGGAAGGUUAUGAGCGAUGUCUGAUAAUAAAAAUUGAAAUAAAUUCAAGCUCAAAUUUACUAGUAUAUCAUACAAAUUUACUAGUCAAAAUACAAAUUUGUUGUUUCUGGGUCAUAAAUGGUAUAGGUUCUUCUCUAGUUCAUAGGUUUCGUGUUAAUAUCUAUUUAAAUAUUUAAUAGGCAUUUUAAUUUUUAAUACAAUAAUUUAUUGACGAUCUUAUUAAAUUGGUAUUAAUUUAAAAGUUAAGAAAGAGUAACUAAGUACUGUUCCCUGCAGUACAUUAUCCGGCUUAACUAAAUAUUCGAUUUGUGCUUUGAAUACCG